rnacentral:rRNA from 1 species
GGCGAACGGGUGAGUAACACGUGAGUAACCUGCCCUUAACUCUGGGAUAAGCCUGGGAAACUGGGUCUAAUACCGGAUAUGACUCCUUAUCGCAUGGUGGGGGGUGGAAAGCUUUAUUGUGGUUUUGGAUGGACUCGCGGCCUAUCAGCUUGUUGGUGAGGUAAUGGCUCACCAAGGCGACGACGGGUAGCCGGCCUGAGAGGGUGACCGGCCACACUGGGACUGAGACACGGCCCAGACUCCUACGGGAGGCAGCAGUGGGGAAUAUUGCACAAUGGGCGCGAGCCUGAUGCAGCGACGCCGCGUGAGGGAUGACGGCCUUCGGGUUGUAAACCUCUUUCAGUAGGGAAGAAGCGAAAGUGACGGUACCUGCAGAAGAAGCGCCGGCUAACUACGUGCCAGCAGCCGCGGUAAUACGUAGGGCGCAAGCGUUAUCCGGAAUUAUUGGGCGUAAAGAGCUCGUAGGCGGUUUGUCGCGUCUGCCGUGAAAGUCCGGGGCUCAACUCCGGAUCUGCGGUGGGUACGGGCAGACUAGAGUGAUGUAGGGGAGACUGGAAUUCCUGGUGUAGCGGUGAAAUGCGCAGAUAUCAGGAGGAACACCGAUGGCGAAGGCAGGUCUCUGGGCAUUAACUGACGCUGAGGAGCGAAAGCAUGGGGAGCGAACAGGAUUAGAUACCCUGGUAGUCC